rnacentral:tRNA from 1 species
GCCCCGGUAGCUCAGUGGAUAGAGCGUUUGCCUCCGGAGCAAAAGGUCGUGGGUUCGAAUCCCGUCCGGGGCACC